AGAGUUUGAUCCUGGCUCAGGAUGAACGCUGGCGGCGUGCCUAAUACAUGCAAGUCGAGCGAACGGACGAGAAGCUUGCUUCUCUGAUGUUAGCGGCGGACGGGUGAGUAACACGUGGAUAACCUACCUAUAAGACUGGGAUAACUUCGGGAAACCGGAGCUAAUACCGGAUAAUAUUUUGAACCGCAUGGUUCAAAAGUGAAAGACGGUCUUGCUGUCACUUAUAGAUGGAUCCGCGCUGCAUUAGCUAGUUGGUAAGGUAACGGCUUACCAAGGCAACGAUGCAUAGCCGACCUGAGAGGGUGAUCGGCCACACUGGAACUGAGACACGGUCCAGACUCCUACGGGAGGCAGCAGUAGGGAAUCUUCCGCAAUGGGCGAAAGCCUGACGGAGCAACGCCGCGUGAGUGAUGAAGGUCUUCGGAUCGUAAAACUCUGUUAUUAGGGAAGAACAUAUGUGUAAGUAACUGUGCACAUCUUGACGGUACCUAAUCAGAAAGCCACGGCUAACUACGUGCCAGCAGCCGCGGUAAUACGUAGGUGGCAAGCGUUAUCCGGAAUUAUUGGGCGUAAAGCGCGCGUAGGCGGUUUUUUAAGUCUGAUGUGAAAGCCCACGGCUCAACCGUGGAGGGUCAUUGGAAACUGGAAAACUUGAGUGCAGAAGAGGAAAGUGGAAUUCCAUGUGUAGCGGUGAAAUGCGCAGAGAUAUGGAGGAACACCAGUGGCGAAGGCGACUUUCUGGUCUGUAACUGACGCUGAUGUAGCGAAAGCGUGGGGAUCAAACAGGAUUAGAUACCCUGGUAGUCCACGCCGUAAACGAUGAGUGCUAAGUGUUAGGGGGUUUCCGCCCCUUAGUGCUGCAGCUAACGCAUUAAGCACUCCGCCUGGGGAGUACGACCGCAAGGUUGAAACUCAAAGGAAUUGACGGGGACCCGCACAAGCGGUGGAGCAUGUGGUUUAAUUCGAAGCAACGCGAAGAACCUUACCAAAUCUUGACAUCCUUUGACAACUCUAGAGAUAGAGCCUUCCCCUUCGGGGGACAAAGUGACAGGUGGUGCAUGGUUGUCGUCAGCUCGUGUCAUGAGAUGUUGGGUUAAGUCCCGCAACGAGCGCAACCCUUAAGCUUAGUUGCCAUCAUUAAGUUGGGCACUCUAAGUUGACUGCCGGUGACAAACCGGAGGAAGGUGGGGAUGACGUCAAAUCAUCAUGCCCCUUAUGAUUUGGGCUACACACGUGCUACAAUGGACAAUACAAAGGGCAGCGAAACCGCGAGGUCAAGCAAAUCCCAUAAAGUUGUUCUCAGUUCGGAUUGUAGUCUGCAACUCGACUACAUGAAGCUGGAAUCGCUAGUAAUCGUAGAUCAGCAUGCUACGGUGAAUACGUUCCCGGGUCUUGUACACACCGCCCGUCACACCACGAGAGUUUGUAACACCCGAAGCCGGUGGAGUAACCUUUUAGGAGCUAGCCGUCGAAGGUGGGACAAAUGAUUGGGGUGAAGUCGUAACAAGGUAGCCGUAUCGGAAGGUGCGGCUGGAUCACCUCCUUU
rnacentral:rRNA from 1 species